rnacentral:rRNA from 1 species
GAUGAACGCUGGCGGCGUGCCUAAUACAUGCAAGUCGAGCGAACAGACGAGGAGCUUGCUCCUCUGACGUUAGCGGCGGACGGGUGAGUAACACGUGGAUAACCUACCUAUAAGACUGGGAUAACUUCGGGAAACCGGAGCUAAUACCGGAUAAUAUAUUGAACCGCAUGGUUCAAUAGUGAAAGACGGUUUUGCCGGCACUUAUAGAUGGAUCCGCGCCGCAUUAGCUAGUUGGUAAGGUAACGGCUUACCAAGGCAACGAUGCGUAGCCGACCUGAGAGGUGGAGCGGCCACACUGGAACUGAGACACGGUCCAGACUCCUACGGGAGGCAGCAGUAGGGAAUCUUCCGCAAUGGGCGAAAGCCUGACGGAGCAACGCCGCGUGAGUGAUGAAGGUCUUCGGAUCGUAAAACUCUGUUAUUAGGGAAGAACAAAUGUGUAAGUAACUAUGCACGUCUUGACGGUACCUAAUCAGAAAGCCACGGCUAACUACGUG